AUAUAUUCCCAUCUCCUGCUAGCAGGACCAAGAUGUCGGAGGGCGAGCGGCCAUUCGAAAACGCACAGGACGACGGCAAUGAUGACGGAGAUGAUGUGCUUAGCAUGGAGGAGGAGCUGUGCUUAAGACUUGACACUAUGAGGGACUUUUUCCUCCAGCAGCUGAAGGCCAUAAGAUACUCGCUGUUUUCAUCUCAGACCAAGGUGCACAAGGAUUUAAAAGCCUUCAAGGAGUCCAUCUUGACGGAGGAGCUGAAUUUCUACAGAGAGAGGCUAGAGGCAAAGGUAACAUCUGACUUCCAGCUGCUGGAGGAAAACUGCAAUUCUGCUAAACGUGAUGUUGUUGAAAUGGUGAAGGCCGUUGGGGAAUCUGUGACCAAGAGGAUGGAUGCGGUGGACAGGAUAUUCCUGGCUUCGAGGAUCACUGCAAUGGAAGCGGAGGUCCGCAACACGGUGCCUUCUUUUGAAGCGAGCACGCCGACACGCCGUGCUCAUGGCCUUUUGAGCAGAGCUGAAGCACUUUCCUCCACCCAGGUGACAGAUGUGGGACAAGACACGGAGAUCUUCCUGGACCUUCAGAGUGUGGCUUCUUCAUCUCCGAUCAGCCCUGGUCAGCGUGCGGUGUUGACCACAGCAACGUCCUUUGAAUCCAGCUCUGACCAGAACCCAGAACGAGAUGAAGCACUUUCCUCCACCCAGGUGACAGAUGUGGGACGCGACACUGAGAUCUUCCUGGACCUUCAGAGUGCGGCCUCUCCGUCUCAGAUUGGCCCGAGUCAGCUUGCGGUGUUGACCACAACAACGUCCUUUGAAUCCAGCUCUGACCAGAACCCAGAACGAGAUGAAGCACUUUCCUCCACCCA
ensembl:lncRNA